UGGAAAGGCCGACGGUACAGGGUGACAGUCCCGUACACAAAAGCGCACCGGCUGUGAGCUCGAUGAGUAGGGCGGGACACGUGAUAUCCUGUCUGAAGAUGGGGGGACCAUCCUCCAAGGCUAAAUACUCCUGACUGACCGAUAGUGAACCAGUACCGUGAGGGAAAGGCGAAAAGAACCCCGGCGAGGGGAGUGAAACAGAACCUGAAACCGUGUACGUACAAGCAGUGGGAGCACCCUUCGGGGUGUGACUGCGUACCUUUUGUAUAAUGGGUCAGCGACUUAUAUUCUGUAGCAAGGUUAACCGNCGACGGUACAGGGUGACAGUCCCGUACACAAAAGCGCACCGGCUGUGAGCUCGAUGAGUAGGGCGGGACACGUGAUAUCCUGUCUGAAGAUGGGGGGACCAUCCUCCAAGGCUAAAUACUCCUGACUGACCGAUAGUGAACCAGUACCGUGAGGGAAAGGCGAAAAGAACCCCGGCGAGGGGAGUGAAACAGAACCUGAAACCGUGUACGUACAAGCAGUGGGAGCACCCUUCGGGGUGUGACUGCGUACCUUUUGUAUAAUGGGUCAGCGACUUAUAUUCUGUAGCAAGGUUAACCGYAUAGGGGAGCCGCAGGGAAACCGAGUCUUAACUGGGCGUUAAGUUGCAGGGUAUAGACCCGAAACCCGGUGAUCUAGCCAUGGGCAGGUUGAAGGUUGGGUAACACUAACUGGAGGACCGAACCGACUAAUGUUGAAAAAUUAGCGGAUGACUUGUGGCUGGGGGUGAAAGGCCAAUCAAACCGGGAGAUAGCUGGUUCUCCCCGAAAGCUAUUUAGGUAGCGCCUCGUGAACUCAUCUUCGGGGGUAGAGCACUGUUUCGGCUAGGGGGCCAUCCCGGCUUACCAACCCGAUGCAAACUGCGAAUACCGAAGAAUGUUAUCACGGGAGACACACGGCGGGUGCUAACGUCCGUCGUGAAGAGGGAAACAACCCAGACCGCCAGCUAAGGUCCCAAAGUCAUGGUUAAGUGGGAAACGAUGUGGGAAGGCACAGACAGCCAGGAUGUUGGCUUAGAAGCAGCCAUCAUUUAAAGAAAGCGUAAUAGCUCACUGGUCGAGUCGGCCUGCGCGGAAGAUGUAACGGGGCUAAACCAUGCACCGAAGCUGCGGCAGCGACGCUUAUGCGUUGUUGGGUAGGGGAGCGUUCUGUAAGCCGCAGAAGGUGGCCUGUGAGGGCCGCUGGAGGUAUCAGAAGUGCGAAUGCUGACAUAAGUAACGAUAAAGCGGGUGAAAAGCCCGCUCGCCGGAAGACCAAGGGUUCCUGUCCAACGUUAAUCGGGGCAGGGUGAGUCGACCCCUAAGGCGAGGCCGAAAGGCGUAGUCGAUGGGAAACGGGUUAAUAUUCCCGUACUUGGUGUUACUGCGAAGGGGGGACGGAGAAGGCUAGGUUAUCCGGGCGACGGUCGUCCCGGUUUAAGCGUGUAGGCUGACUUUCCAGGCAAAUCCGGAAAGUUAAGGCUGAGGCGUGACGACGAGGCACUACGGUGCUGAAGUAACUGAUGCCCUGCUUCCAGGAAAAGCCUCUAAGCUCCAGGUAACGUCAAAUCGUACCCCAAACCGACACAGGUGGUCAGGUAGAGAAUACCAAGGCGCUUGAGAGAACUCGGGUGAAGGAACUAGGCAAAAUGGUGCCGUAACUUCGGGAGAAGGCACGCUGGCGCGUAGGUGAAGGGACUUGCUCCCGGAGCCGAAGCCAGUCGAAGAUACCAGCUGGCUGCAACUGUUUAUUAAAAACACAGCACUGUGCAAACACGAAAGUGGACGUAUACGGUGUGACGCCUGCCCGGUGCCGGAAGGUUAAUUGAUGGGGUUAUCCGCAAGGAGAAGCUCUUGAUCGAAGCCCCGGUAAACGGCGGCCGUAACUAUAACGGUCCUAAGGUAGCGAAAUUCCUUGUCGGGUAAGUUCCGACCUGCACGAAUGGCGUAAUGAUGGCCAGGCUGUCUCCACCCGAGACUCAGUGAAAUUGAACUCGCUGUGAAGAUGCAGUGUACCCGCGGCAAGACGGAAAGACCCCGUGAACCUUUACUACAGCUUGACACUGAACAUUGAGCCUUGAUGUGUAGGAUAGGUGGGAGGCUUUGAAGCGUGGACGCCAGUCUGCGUGGAGCCAACCUUGAAAUACCACCCUUUAAUGUUUGAUGUUCUAACGUGGCCCCGUAAUCCGGGGUGCGGACAGUGUCUGGUGGGUAGUUUGACUGGGGCGGUCUCCUCCCAAAGAGUAACGGAGGAGCACGAAGGUCAGCUAAUCACGGUCGGACAUCGUGAGGUUAGUGCAAAGGCAUAAGCUGGCUUGACUGCGAGAGUGACGGCUCGAGCAGGUGCGAAAGCAGGUCUUAGUGAUCCGGUGGUUCUGAAUGGAAGGGCCAUCGCUCAACGGAUAAAAGGUACUCCGGGACGACGUUGAUAGGCCGGGUGUGUAAGCGCAGCGAUGCGUUGAGCUAACCGGUACUAAUGACCCGUGAGGCUUAACCUUACAACGCCAGAGGCGUUCUUGAGAGACGAUUUUCAGCCCAGUUCAUAACGGAUUGAAGCCGUGCGGCCGGAUGGCGGCGCGGACAACAGAAUUUGCCUGGCGGCUGUAGCGCGGUGGUCCCACCUGACCCCAUGCCGAACUCAGAAGUGAAACGCCGUAGCGCCGAUGGUAGUGU
rnacentral:rRNA from 1 species